GGGCCGUUAGCACAGUUGGUAAUGCGUCCCGCUCGCAGCGGGAAGAUCGCCGGUUCGAAUCCGGCACGGUCCACCG
rnacentral:tRNA from 1 species